GUAAUCUCUACUUACCUUUUCUUGUGUCCAUCAGGUGGCACUGGAGAGUUGUGACCCUGCUGAGCAGUGCAAGGACUCUACUGAGGCUCUUGGUGGACACAGCAAGAACCCACACCCAUAGAUGGAUGCCAAUAUCUAUUCCUUCCUCUGUCUGGCAAGCUCUGGUGUCCCCUGAGGUCGUUCCCAUGCUUGCAGAGGUCCUACGGGCUUGGUGUUGGUUGUCGCUUGUGCUCACCUUGCUGUCACCGGGUGUUCUUCCUUUGCCCAUCUUAGGGCUCCCCAGUUCUGGUGGGAUCUCAGUACCCUCUGCUGAUCCCAGAAAAUAUGGAUUUGUCCUCUUAUCUUCAGAUUCAGUUUGACCAAGUGAGAUGGAAAAUGAAGUGGUAUACUCCAAAACAGACUUGCAGUGAGUAUACUUAUCCACCACAUGGUGAUGCCUUCCCUGACCUCCUUGAUUGCAGUGUGGGAUGUGCCCUGAUCCUUGGAAAGGGAUCCACUGUCCUAGUCGAAGCAGGAAGGACCAUUUUGACUAUUUGUCAACACCCACAUGGCAAUCUGAAUUUAGGAGCUGCUUUCACAGAUGCGUCGCUGCAGGGCAAAGAAGGCCUCAAAACUUCAGCGGACCUGUACCCCCAAGAGAGCUCUGAAACUUACGUUAAGAAAAUAAAUGUCUUAAUAUUUUUCUGUCUUCUAUAGUUUUAACUGUUGCUUUAGCUUGGCUGG
ensembl:lncRNA